rnacentral:rRNA from 1 species
UACGAAGGUGGCAAGCGUUGUUCGGAUUUACUGGGCGUAAAGGGAGCGUAGGUGGUUAGGUAAGCCCUCCGGGAAAUCUUCAGGCUUAACCUGAAAAGGUCGGGGGGGACUGCCUAGCUAGAGGGCGGGAGAGGAGCGCGGAAUUCCCGGUGUAGCGGUGAAAUGCGUAGAGAUCGGGGGGAAGGCCGGUGGCGAAGGCGGCGCUCUGGAACGUUUCUGACACUGAGGCUCGAAAGCGUGGGGAGCAAACAGG